GAUCCUGGCUCAGGACGAACGCUGGCGGCGUGCCUAAUACAUGCAAGUAGAACGCUGAAGGGGGAGCUUGCUUCUCCGGAUGAGUUGCGAACGGGUGAGUAACGCGUAGGUAACCUGCCUGGUAGCGGGGGAUAACUAUUGGAAACGAUAGCUAAUACCGCAUAAUAGUAGAUGUUGCAUGACAUUUGCUUAAAGGGUGCAAUUGCAUCACUACCAGAUGGACCUGCGUUGUA
rnacentral:rRNA from 1 species